CGCGUAGGCGGUUGAGUAAGUCAAAUGUGAAAUCCCCGGGCUUAACCUGGGAACUGCAUUCGAUACUGCUUAACUAGAGUAUGGUAGAGGGAAGUGGAAUUCCGGGUGUAGCGGUGAAAUGCGUAGAUAUCCGGAGGAACACCAGUGGCGAAGGCGGCUACCUGGACCGAUACUGACGCUGAGACGCGAAAGCGUGGGGAACAAACA
rnacentral:rRNA from 1 species